AUUGAACGCUGGCGGCAGGCCUAACACAUGCAAGUCGAGCGAGCGGCGGAAGGGUGAGGAAUGUCUGGGAAACUGCCUGAGGGAGGGGGAUAAAUACUGGAAACGGGAGCUAAUACCGCAUAACCUAAGAUGUUCACAGAUGGGAUUAGCUAGUAGGUGGGGUAAUGGCUCACCUAGGCGGCGAUCCCGAGCUGGUCUGAGAGGAUGACCAGCCACACUGGAACUUAGACACGGUCCAGACUCCUACGGGAGGCAGCAGUGGGGAAUAUUGCACAAUGGGCGCAAGCCUGAUGCAGCCAUGCCGCGUGUGUGAAGAAGGCCUUCGGGUUGUAAAGCACUUUCAGCGAGGAGGCGUUACUCGCAGAAGAAGCACCGGCUAACUCCGUGCCAGCAGCCGCGGUAAUUC
rnacentral:rRNA from 1 species